rnacentral:rRNA from 1 species
GACGAACGCUGGCGGCGUGCUUAACACAUGCAAGUCGAACGGAAAGGCCCUGCUUUUGUGGGGUGCUCGAGUGGCGAACGGGUGGGUAACACGUGAGUAACCUGCCCUUGACUUUGGGAUAACUUCAGGAAACUGGGGCUAAUACCGGAUAGGAGCUCCUGCUGCAUGGUGGGGGUUGGAAAGUUUCGGCGGUUGGGGAUGGACUCGCGGCUUAUCAGCUUGUUGGUGGGGUAGUGGCUUACCAAGGCUUUGACGGGUAGCCGGCCUGAGAGGGUGACCGGCCACAUUGGGACUGAGAUACGGCCCAGACUCCUACGGGAGGCAGCAGUGGGGAAUAUUGCACAAUGGGCGGAAGCCUGAUGCAGCAACGCCGCGUGCGGGAUGACGGCCUUCGGGUUGUAAACCGCUUUCGCCUGUGACGAAGCGUGAGUGACGGUAAAGGGUAAAGAAGCACCGGCUAACUACGUG